UACGUAGGGUGCAAGCGUUAAUCGGAAUUACUGGGCGUAAAGCGUGCGUAGGCGGUUCGUUAAGUCUGUCGUGAAAGCCCUGGGCUCAACCUGGGAAUUGCGAUGGAUACUGGCGAGCUAGAGUACGGUAGAGGAUGGUGGAAUUCCCGGUGUAGCGGUGAAAUGCGUAGAGAUCGGGAGGAACACCCGUGGCGAAGGCGCCAUCUGGACCAGUACUGACGCUGAGGCACGAAAGCGUGGGGAGCAAACAGG
rnacentral:rRNA from 1 species